rnacentral:rRNA from 1 species
CUACGGGUUGCUGCAGGCACGGAACCUUUACAAUGCACGAAAGUGUGAUAAGGGAAUUCCAAGUGCUCUGUCAAUGACAGGGCUUUUGUCAAGUGUAAGGAGCUUGGCGAAUAAGUGGUGGGCAAGACUGGUGCCAGCCGCUGCGGUAACACCAGCGCCACAAGUGGUAAUCAUGUUUAUUGGGUCUAAAGCGUUUGUAGCCGGUUUAGUAAAUUUCCUGUGAAAUUGUCCAGCUUAACUGGACAGCGUGCAAGAAACACUGCUGGACUUGAGACCGGGAGGAGACAAAGGUAUUUCGGGGGGAGCGGUAAAAUGCAAUAAUCCUCGGAGGACCAUUAAUGGCGAAGGCAUUUGUCUAGAACGGUUCUGACGGUCAGGGACGAAAGCUAGGGGAGCAAAACGGAUUAGAUACCCUAGUAGUC